rnacentral:lncRNA from 1 species
AAAGUUUGGGAUUCCCAGUCUACAAAACCCCACAGCUCCUAGGAAUUCUCUCACCACCCUUGUGCCUUUAGGCUUCGGUAGAUUGCAAAUGACCUGCUUUCUUUCGGAUCCCGGGCUGCUUUCGGACACCUGUCGAAUAGUAAAUCCCAAGUAAGGUACCUGCGGUCGUCGGCAGAUCUGAAUUUUCUUCUUGGACACCUAAUACCCACAGCCCUCCAGAGACCGAGAGGUUGAUGUCACUCCCAAUAUCGGAGGAAGUAUACACCCCCGUGUGAGAUGGUCCUUAAUAAUAUUCCACGGCGGAGGGGGUGAUAUGACUACAUACAUGGCAGAAAGUGGAAACCUCCCAGGGAUAUUGUUCCCACGAUCCUGGAGGGAAGAAGAUGAUGUUACUUUCAAUAUGACAGAAGGUGGAUGAAGUGGUGGACUGCCCCUCCACACCUGUGGACACGCCCCCACUGAUAUUCCUUCUAAUUGCAGCGUGGGAGAGGAGGAUAUGACACGCGAUAUCGCAGGGAGUAGAAACACCCCUGUGAUACUGUUCUUAAUAUUCAGGGAGGAAGAGGAUGAUAUUACUCCCAAUACAGACGGGUGUACACCCUCUGUACACCGAGGGUGUACACCUGUCUGUGAAAGAGUUCUUAAUCUCCAGAGGGGGAGAUGAUAUUACUCACAAUAUGGUAAAGAGGCUGUGAGUCCACGGAGGAUCCUCAGAGCCAGCGGGGGAAGAGGGGCUGGCUCUCAGUCCCCGCCUCGCGGGGGUGACUCCCCCCAGUGCGAUGGGGGUCCUAAGAGCCAGUGGGGGAAGAGGGGCUGGCUCUGAGACCCCGCCUCGCGGGGGGUGCCUCCCCGCCCUGUGAUGGGGGUCCCAAGAGCCAGAAGGCUUAGAGGGGCUGGCUCUCAGUCCCCGCCUCGCGGGGGGUGCCUCCUCCCCCUGCGAUGGGGGUCGUAAGAGCCACUGGGGGAAUAGGGGCUUGCUCUCAGUCACCGCCUCGCGGGGGGUGCCUCCUUUCCUUUCUACAUAGACACAGUGACAGUCUGAUCUCUCUUUCUUUUCCCUACAGAUGGACACGCCCCCACUGAUAUUGUUUUUAAUGCAGCGUGGGAGGGGAGGAUAUGACACGCGAUAUCGCAGGUAGUAGAAACACCCCUUUGAUAGUGUUCUUAAUAUUCAGGGAGGAAGAAGAUGAUGUUACUCCCAAUACAGACGGAUGUACACCCUCUGUACACCGAGGGUGUACACCCGUCUGUGAAGGAGUUCGUAAUCUCCAGAGGUGGAGAUGAUAUUACUCACAAUAUGGUAAACAGGCUGCGAGUCCAUCGCGGAUCCUCAGAGCCAGGUGGGGAAGAGGGGCUGGCUGUCAGUCCCCUCCUCGCGGGGGGUGCCUCCCCCACUGCUAUGGGGAUCCCAAGAGCCAGUGGGGGAAGAGGUGCUGGCUCUCAGUCUCCGCCUCGCGAGGUGCCUCCCCACCCUGCGAUCGGGGUCCGAAGAGCCAGGGGGGAAGAGGGGCUGGCUCUCUUCGUGGAUGAUUCUUUUUCCAUUCUCAGGCAGUUUUCUUUUUUCUUUCUUUCUUUUUUUUUUUUUUGAGACUGAGUCUUGCUCUGUUGCCCAUGCUUUGCUCGAUCUCGGGUGACUGCAACCACUGCCUCCCAGGUUCAAGAGAUUCUCCUGCCUCAGCCUCCUGAGUAGCUGGGACUAGAGGCGUGUGUCACCACACCCAGCUAAUUUUUGUAUUUUUAGUAGAGAUGGGGUUUCACCAUGUUUGCCAGGAUGGUCUUUAUCUCCUGCCCUUGUGAUCCACCCACCUCAGCCUCCCAAAGUGCUGGGAUUGCAGGUGCGAGCCACCGGGUCCAGCCUCUCAGGCGAUUUUCAUACCUGCAUACUCUGAUCACUACUCUGUUAAACAGUCAAGGAGGGUAAGUAUUAUCUUCAGAUUUCCAGAGCUCUGUCUCUGUACAGCCCUCUCCUCCUCAAUAUUCUGCCCUAUGAAUUCUAGCCACAUUGGCCUUCCCAGGCUCACAGUUCUGUCUUCUCAACUCAGGAAGAUCUCUGAGUUCCAUCUGCAUUCUUUCUUCCUGUGCUGUGGCCUGGAAAGUUUUCUAAGGUGUUAGGGAGGUCAAUUGUGGGGCUAGCCUCAUUUGUUUCUCAUCUCUUGAGGAUCACUGCCCUUUGAUGCUUGAUUCCAGUGAUUGAUUCCCUUUGUUGCUUGAGGGCCAUAGUUUCAUAUAUUUUGUCCAGUAGUUUUGUUGUUUUAGGUCAGAAAGUAAUUUUGGUCUCUGUUACUCUAUCUUGGCCAGAAGUGUAAGACCUAAGCAUUUACACAUCAAAAUACUGCACACAUAAUUUUAGUUUAAGCUACUUUUUAAAAAAUCUCCUUCAUUUUCCAUUUAGCAUUCUAUUUAGGGUAUUACAUUGGUUUUUUUGAAAUUCUGUUAUUGGCAGUUUCUAUUGCCUAUCAAUCCCAUUUAAAGAUAGUGCAUAGGGUAUUCUAAAAUAGCUGUUAAGCAAAGAGAAAAUUGGGCCUGAUAGGGUGAGAAUCACAGCUCUAAUACCUAGAGUGACCUUAUAAUGUAUUGUCCAAAGGAGAUAUUUUUGACAGUGAAAGAGGGUGUUGUUAGUAAUUAUAUCAGGACCAUGGCCUAAACCAGGACUAUCCCAGGAAGCCUGGGACAUAUUUGUACCCCAUCUCUAUUUAAUGCCUUUAUACAAUUCUUUACUUAAUUCUACCAGCCUUUAUUGAGCCUGCUUUCUUUGUCUAGCUGAGUGCCACGUGCUGACGUCACUAAGAUCAAUACAGCAAACUCUGAAAGAUGGACAGAGAGACAGGAGAUGGUCCUUUAUAAUGCAGUGUGAUCUGUGCUGCAAUAGAGUUUUGGAAGCUAGAAGUUCAAAACGAGGUGUUGGCAGCACCAUGCUCUCUCUGAAGAUGCUAGGAAGAAUCUGCUCCAUGCCUUUCCAUUCGCUCCUGGGGUUUCCUGCAAGCCCUGACAUUCCUUGGCUUGUAGAUGCAUCACCCCAGUUUCCGCCCCCAUCAUCACAUGGCCUCCUCUCUGUGUGUGCCUCUGCGUUCCCUCUAUUCUUCUUCUAAGGACACCGACACCAGUCAUAGUGGAUUAAGGGUCCACUCCUAACCAAUUACAUCUGCAACAACCCUAUUUCCAAAUAAAGUCACAUUCUAAG